UCAUAAGUUGAGGUUGUAUAGUGAGUUUUGUAAGGUUCACUUAAGAUGAGUUUAAAUGUGUUUGAAUAUUAAGAUGAAUUUAGAUGAAUUUAUGAGAAGUUAAAAAAGAUUGUGUGUCUCACAUGUAAAGAUAUGUUGAGUUUAAAAAGGUUAUGAGUCUUAUGUAUAAAGAUGUUUUAAGUUAAGAU